GAUGACUCUCGGCAACGGAUAUCUUGGCUCUUGCAUCGAUGAAGAACGCAGCGAAAUGCGAUAAGUGGUGUGAAUUGCAGAAUCCCGUGAACCAUCGAGUCUUUGAACGCAAGUUGCGCCCAAGGCCAUCAGGCUAAGGGCACGCCUGCCUGGGCGUCGUGU
rnacentral:rRNA from 1 species